rnacentral:rRNA from 1 species
GACGAACGCUGGCGGCGUGCUUAACACAUGCAAGUCGAACGGAAAGGCCCUGCUUUUGGGGGGUGCUCGAGUGGCGAACGGGUGAGUAACACGUGAGUAACCUGCCCUUGACUUUGGGAUAACUUCAGGAAACUGGGGCGAAUACCGGAUAGGAGCUCCUGCUGCAUGGUGGGGGUUGGAAAGUUUCGGCGGUUGGGGAUGGACUCGCGGCUUAUCAGCUUGUUGGUGGGGUAGUGGCUUACCAAGGCUUUGACGGGUAGCCGGCCUGAGAGGGUGACCGGCCACAUUGGGACUGAGAUACGGCCCAGACUCCUACGGGAGGCAGUAGUGGCGAAUAUUGCACUAGGGGCGGAAGCCUGAUGCAGCAACGCCGCGUGCGGGAUGACGGCCUUCGGGUUGUAAACCGCUUUCGCCUGUGACGAAGCGUGAGUGACGGUAAUGGGUAAAGAAGCACCGGCUAACUACGUG